UGAGUUUUUCGAGUUUGCUCGAUUCGGAGUUUUUAUUUUUUCGUAAAGGCGAGUGUUCGAAGCUACGCGUUUUCGUUAUAAUCUCUUGAUGCCUCGUGCGAACGUGUGAGUGUAAAAAUUAACGCGAAAUUAAAGUGACUCAUAGACAACAUUGACAUUUAACUUGAUCAUACAUGGAAUACGUUUGUUUGUGCGUCUAAAAAUACUGGCGCGUCAGUUGAAUUUUUCAAUGAGAAAAUAUACCGGUGAGAGGAUGAAAAUUAGUUUGGAAUUUUUUUUAUAAUAAUAAUAAUAGUAGUAGAAAUCUCAUAAUGACUGAUAAGGCGGAUAACAGGUACCAGGCGUGAAAUAUGUCGAAUUGAGAGGGAUUUGCCAACUUAAAAACUAGAAAGAUUAUAUGAAAUCAUUUUCUCGCAAAAUCGAUAACCGCUCUACUCUUACUUCAACGCGACUGUCUCCAAAAUCCAACAACGCAAAAGAUCGGUGAAAAAUUGGCCGAGGAUGGGAUAGCGCUUCGAUUAGAAUGUUCGAGAGGAGAUGGUUUUCAGGAUUUUUUUAUGAUCGGUUUGAAAAGUUAUUGCAAGUAAUUAUGUGAUUUGUUAGUACGUUGGAGUGAUUUUAAAAUUUUUAUUCGAAAAUUUAUGCAGCUGUAAUCGUGUUAUCUUGGAUCUACGAAAUUCCGAUAAGCGAUGAAUAUACUUUAACUUUUGUAUCGCGUGGGUGUGCAGAGAUAAAGAAGAGACAAAGGAUUAUAAGAUCAAUAUUCGUCGGAAAAUGAAAUGCGCAAAUAGCUUUGGUGAAUUACCCGAGAAGACAGCUCAAUUAUUGAUCGGUAUUUCAGCUUUUGCGGAGUAAGAGAUGUAAGCCGAUAAACAAAAUUAUCAGAAGUAUAUUUAUACUUGACGUAAAAUGUGUCUAUAUGAUCGAAAUGUUAUAAUUAGCAGUUAUAUAAGUAAAAAAUAUUAACAAAAAAAAGUUGAAUUUCAUAAUACUAAACUACAACAAAUCUAUAACUCCAUACACCUCCAAGCUCGACUAUAUCGUUCAUCCGCUUCGUA